rnacentral:lncRNA from 1 species
CCUGCUACAACAUUAUCAACCUGUACAACUAAACACAACAUUAUCGACCUGCUACAACUAAACACAACAUUAUCGACCUGCUACACAGAGAGGAACCAAGCAUAAAUGUCUUUUUCCAUUGAUUGAAAAUAGCUGUCACUGCAGGGGGAUGUUUGUAGCCAUCUUUUCAUUUUAUUUUCUCCUUCAUGUGGGAACAUCUAUAAUAUUAGACCCAUCUCUUUAUUCUCUUGAAUGACCUGUACAGACCAGGGUCUGUACCGACCCCGAGCUGGACUGAGGAGGUUUUAUACAGACCAGGGUCUGUACCGAGCUGGACUGAGGAGGUUUUAUACAGACCAGGGUCUGUAUCGACCCAGAGCUGGACUGAGGGGUUUUAUACAGACCAGGGUCUGUACCGACCCAGAGCUGGACUGAGGAGGUUUUAUACAGACCAGGGUCUGUACCGACCCAGAGCUGGACUGAGGAGGUUUUAUACAGACCAGGGUCUGUGAUCAACCAAGAUGGACUGAGGAGGUUUUAUACAGACCAGGAUCUGUACCGACCCAGAACUGAACUGAGGAGGUUUUAUACAGACCAGGGUCUGUACCGACCCAGAGCUGGACUGAGGAGGUUUUAUACAGACCAGGGUCUGUACCGACCCAGAGCUGGACUGAGGAGGUUUUAUACAGACCAGGGUCUGUGAUCAACCAAGAUGGACUGAGGAGGUUUUAUACAGACCAGGGUCUGUACCGACCCAGAACUGGACUGAGGAGGUUUUAUACAGACCAGGGUCUGUACCGACCCCGAGCUGCACUGAGGAGGUUUUAUACAGACCAGGGUCUGUACCGACCCCGAGCUGGACUGAGGAGGUUUUAUACAGACCAGGGUCUGUACCGAGCUGGACUGAGGAGGUUUUAUACAGACCAGGGUCUGUAUCAACCCCGAGCUGGACUGAGGAGGUUUUAUACAGACCAGGGUCUGUACCGACCCAGAGCUGGACUGAGGAGGUUUUAUACAGACCAGGGUCUGUAUCGACCCAGAGCUGGACUGAGGGGUUUUAUACAGACCAGGGUCUGUACCGAGCUGGACUGAGGAGGUUUUAUACAGACCAGGAUCUGUACCGACCCAGAACUGGACUGAGGAGGUUUUAUACAGACCAGGGUCUGUAUCGACCCAGAGCUGGACUGAGGAGGUUUUAUACAGACCAGGGUCUGUACCGACCCAGAACUGGACUGAGGAGGUUUUAUACAGACCAGGGUCUGUACCGACCCAGAGCUGGACUGAGGAGGUUUUAUACAGACCAGGGUCUGUGAUCAACCAAGAUGGACUGAGGAGGUUUUAUACAGACCAGGGUCUGUAUCGACCCAGAGCUGGACUGAGGGGUUUUAUACAGACCAGGGUCUGUACCGACCCAGAGCUGGACUGAGGAGGUUUUAUACAGACCAGGGUCUGUACCGACCCAGAGCUGGACUGAGGAGGUUUUAUACAGACCAGGGUCUGUAUCAACCCCGAGCUGGACUGAGGAGGUUUGAUACAGACCAGGGUCUGUACCGACCCAGAGCUGGACUGAGGAGGUUCUAUACCUGGUCUGUGUUCAACCAAGAUGGAAGAGGAACGACUCAAACAUCCGAAUCUUAGUGCCAAGGUUACCGUGGAAACAGAGGAGGGGAACUGAUUUGUCUAAGUAACUAAUAUUAAAACAUUAAAAAAAUAAGUGUUAUGUAAAGUUGUUAUUGUCUAUUUGUUGGAGCGUAAACAGAGAAACACCAGAUGGGACGAUGUGCGUUGUUGUCCUGUCAGGAGUGGAUUGAUUGAUUGAUUGAUUGAUUGAUUGAUUGAUUGAUUGAUU